rnacentral:rRNA from 1 species
ACUCCUACGGGAGGCAGCAGUGGGGAAUUUUGGACAAUGGGCGCAAGCCUGAUCCAGCCAUGCCGCGUGCGGGAAGAAGGCCUUCGGGUUGUAAACCGCUUUUGUCAGGGAAGAAAAGGUUCUGGCUAAUACCUGGGACUCAUGACGGUACCUGAAGAAUAAGCACCGGCUAACUACGUGCCAGCAGCCGCGGUAAUACGUAGGGUGCAAGCGUUAAUCGGAAUUACUGGGCGUAAAGCGUGCGCAGGCGGUUAUGCAAGACAGAGGUGAAAUCCCCGGGCUCAACCUGGGAACUGCCUUUGUGACUGCAUGGCUAGAGUACGGUAGAGGGGGAUGGAAUUCCGCGUGUAGCAGUGAAAUGCGUAGAUAUGCGGAGGAACACCGAUGGCGAAGGCAAUCCCCUGGACCUGUACUGACGCUCAUGCACGAAAGCGUGGGGAGCAAACAGGAUUAGAUACCCUUGUAGUCCCAU